UAGGUCUGCUCAGUUCUGGGGUGUAAUGGU
rnacentral:piRNA from 1 species